GGACAGCCAGAAAUUGAGAGAGAAGGGGGUGAUAGAGAGGGAAAGAGACAGAAAGACACCUGCAGCCCUGAUUCACCACUUGCAAAGCUUUCCCUCUCCAGGUGGGGGCCAGGGACUUGAACCUGAGCCCUUGUAUAUUGUAACAUAUACUCUUGACCAGGUGUGUCACCACUUGGCCCCUCGAAAUAAUUUUUUCUAGGCCAAUAAGCAACUGCAUCUGCCUAGAGUACAAUUUCAGCAAAUUGAAAUUCAGAUAACUUCUCAAUAUAACUAAUCCAUUUGACACAAAAUGCAGACUAUCCAAUUGCCCAAUCUCCAAACACCAAGUUGAAUAAUGUUUUGCUACUGAUAGCAAAUCCCAGAGCAAUCAACAGUGAAAGAGAUUUGGGGAAUGGAGAAGGCUGGAAGGUAGAGGUCACCCCAACAACUGGCUAUAUGGGGGUAAGGGUUCCAGGAAAUGAAGGGAAAUUAGAGACACUCUGGCUCAUGUAAUUAACAUGAAUGGAAAUUGCUUCCUGAGAGUUAAGAGACAGUCCACUGUACAGAGUGUGUGGCUUGACAUGCAUGAGGCCUGAGUAUAAGCCCCAGAACCACAUGGGAGCAUCAAGGAAGAAACCACUGGGGAAGGUCUAUGUCUGGUGUAGUGGUGCUAUUGUCUCUCCUUUCUUUCCCCCUCUCAUUUUUCUUCUCUCUUUCAUUGUAGAAUGAAAAACAUAUUAAUAUGUAACAUAGAAUAAUAAAAAUAUUGCCUCAGCAAGACCAUUAUGAAGUGUUACGGUAUAGAAACAAGGUUCUGAGUUUAUUCCCACUACCAGUUAAAAUACUAUUUUAAGGCUGGGUAGGGGUGCGCCCAGUUGAGCAUACAUGCUACAACGUGGAAGGACCUGGGUUCGAGCCUCUGGUUCCCUCCUGCAGGGAGAAAGAUUUAUGAGCGGUAUAGCAGUGAUGCAGAUCUCUCCCUCUCCCCCCUCCAUUUUUUUUCUGUCUCUAUUCAACAAAUAAAUAAUUCAAAAAACGAUGGAUAAUUCCAAAGCUAACAGACUUGGGCAUCAAAAGAAGGGAGUUCCAGACUCCUGCUGACAAAAAUAGGAAGACCUUUAGAAAAGUAGCAUUUUCUGUGAUGGACACUCAACCUCUCCCAAAUGGAUCCUUUUGAGAAUGACCUUUCAUAGACCAAUAUUUUUAAAUUUCUGAUAGGGUGGUCUCACUCUGAUCCUGAAAACUAUCUUUUGACUUCAAAUUCUCUAGCUUCUUUAACUAACUAGUCUAUUAUUAUCUAUGUAUCUCAGAGGUGGUCAGGCUUAAGUGCCUAUUGUGAUUUUUUUCCCCAUCAGUUAUAAUUAUUUUAAUAUUGAUCUCAAGUUCUAAGCACCUUGCUCAAUCACUUCAUUUUAUACCAUGCAAAAUAUUUCAUAAAUCUUACCACUUCACUAAUUGUUUAUCUUAACUAAAGCAUAAAUGAUUCGUAUGAAAUGUAAAAAUGGCUAUGAGUUCAAAUAAAAUUUAAAGAUCAGAAUUUUCAAUCUAAAAAGCAAUGACUUGCUCAUUAGAGUCCUGUUUAAUGAUCAAUCAAACAUUUACUGCCUGAAUGACUGCUGUUAUUAAUAAACUUUUUCUUUGUUUUUAAUUGGACUAAAACAGAGAGGGGAGUAUUGUAUUACUGCUUAUGAAGUUUCCCCCCUGCAGGUAGUGGCUGAAGUCUUUAACAGAAGCUACCUGAUGCCUUUUCUGAAGUUAAGUUGAAGUGUAAGGAGAAAAUUACUGGCUGUUCUAAGAACACUUUCUAAGAUCAUUUGUAUCACACAAAGGCACUGCUACACAGCUGUAUGCCAGCUGCAAGGACCUCAACUAACCACCAGAAAUUUUAAAUAUCUAGGGAAGAUAUUUUCGGAGCUGGACCAUGAUUAUUGCUACCAUUGGAAUUAUGUAUUACAGGGGCAUACACACAGCCACAAGGGCAUGAAGACAGAGGCUUCACAUGACCAAAAAGCAUUGUCAGCAAGCACCAGAAGCUGAAAGAGGCAAGAAACAGACUUGCCUGAUACCCCUCAAGGGGCAUGACCUGCUGAUGUUUUCAUUGUAGAGGAAUGGGCUUUGGAUAUUUGCCCUUCAUGACUAAUAGUGAAUAAAUACCUGUUGUUUCAAUUCA